rnacentral:rRNA from 1 species
GAUUCUGGCUCAGGACGAACGCUGGCGGCGUGCCUAAUACAUGCAAGUCGAGCGGAGUUUAGUUGAGUACUUGUACGAGACUGAACUUAGCGGCGGACGGGUGAGUAACGCGUGAGCGACCUGGCCUAUACAGGGGGAUAACAGGGAGAAAUUCCUGCUAAAUACCGCAUAAGACCACAGUACUGCAUGGUACAGGGGUCAAAGGAGGAAUCCGGUAUAGGAUGGGCUCGCGUCCCAUUAGCUAGUUGG